AGUGAACGCUGGCGGUAGGCCUAACACAUGCAAGUCGAACGGCAGCACAGUAAGAGCUUGCUCUUACGGGUGGCGAGUGGCGGACGGGUGAGGAAUACAUCGGAAUCUACUUUUUCGUGGGGGAUAACGUAGGGAAACUUACGCUAAUACCGCAUACGACCUACGGGUGAAAGCAGGGGAUCUUCGGACCUUGCGCGAUUGAAUGAGCCGAUGUCGGAUUAGCUAGUUGGCGGGGUAAAGGCCCACCAAGGCGACGAUCCGUAGCUGGUCUGAGAGGAUGAUCGGCCACACUGGAACUGAGACACGGUCCAGACUCCUACGGGAGGCAGCAGUGGGGAAUAUUGGACAAUGGGCGCAAGCCUGAUCCAGCCAUACCGCGUGGGUGAAGAAGGCCUUCGGGUUGUAAAGCCCUUUUGUUGGGAAAGAAAAGCAGCAGGUUAAUACCCCGCUGUUCUGACGGUACCCAAAGAAUAAGCACCGGCUAACUUCG
rnacentral:rRNA from 1 species